AUGAGGAUCGACGAGGUACAGUCGACGUCGAAGAAGCAGCGCGUCGCCACCCACACCCACAUCAAGGGCCUCGGCNNNNNNGCCAAUGGGACGGCGAUAGGGAUGUCGGCGGGGUUCGUGGGGCAGGCGGAGGCGAGAGAGGCGUGUGGGCUGGUGGUCGACAUGAUCCGUCAGAAGAAGAUGGCUGGACGGGCGCUGCUCCUUGCCGGCCCACCUGCCACCGGCAAGACCGCGCUCGCUCUUGGCAUCUCCCAGGAGCUGGGCAGCAAGGUUCCUUUCUGUCCUAUGGUAGGAUCAGAAGUGUACUCUUCAGAGGUCAAGAAAACUGAGGUGCUGAUGGAAAAUUUCCGUAGAGCUAUAGGCUUGCGUAUAAAGGAAAACAAAGAAGUCUAUGAAGGAGAGGUUACGGAGCUUUCCCCAGAAGAAUCUGAGAGUUCAACUGGUGGAUAUGGGAAAAACAUUAGCCAUGUAGUAAUUGGCCUGAAGACUGUAAAAGGGACUAAACAACUAAAGUUAGAUCCUACAAUUUAUGAUGCUUUAAUCAAGGAAAAGGUGGCAGUGGGUGAUGUUAUAUACAUCGAAGCUAACAGCGGUGCAGUGAAAAGAGUUGGCAGAUGUGAUGCUUUUGCUACAGAAUACGAUCUUGAAGCAGAGGAGUAUGUGCCAAUUCCCAAAGGGGAGGUCCACAAGAAAAAAGAAAUAGUGCAGGACGUUACACUGCAUGACCUUGACGCCGCAAAUGCCCAGCCACAAGGAGGCCAAGAUAUCUUGUCCCUUAUGGGCCAAAUGAUGAAGCCACGCAAGACUGAAAUCACUGAGAAGCUGCGCCAAGAGAUCAAUAAGGUGGUUAAUAGAUAUAUUGACGAAGGUAUUGCAGAGCUCGUACCUGGUGUGCUGUUCAUUGAUGAGGUUCACAUGCUGGACAUUGAGUGCUUCUCUUAUCUUAAUCGUGCUCUCGAGAGCUCAUUAUCGCCAAUUGUAAUACUCGCUACGAACAGAGGAAUAUGUACUGUGAGGGGAACUGACAUGACAAGUCCACAUGGUAUCCCAGUCGACCUUCUAGAUAGGCUGGUUAUCGUACGGACACAGAUAUAUGGGCCUAUCGAGAUGAUCCAGAUAUUAGCAAUUAGAGCACAAGUGGAGGAGAUUGAAAUUGAUGAAGACAGUCUUGCAUUUCUAGGAGAGGUUGGGCAGCAGACAUCUUUGAGGCAUGCUAUUCAGUUGCUGUCACCUGCUAGCGUAGUUGCCGAGGCUAAUGGGAGAGAGAAGAUCUGCAAGGCUGAUCUCGAAGAAGUCUGUGGUCUGUAUUUGGACGCAAAGUCCUCUGCUCGUCUGCUUCAGGACCAGCAAGGAAGCUACAUCACCUAA
rnacentral:rRNA from 1 species